rnacentral:rRNA from 14 species
CCUUUAAAGAAAGCGUAAUAGCUCACUAGUCGAGUCGGCCUGCGCGGAAGAUGUAACGGGGCUAAGCAAUAUACCGAAGCUGCGGCAGCACGUAUGUGCUGGGUAGGGGAGCGUUGUGUAAGUGGAUGAAGGUGAAUCGAGAGGUUUGCUGGAGGUAUCAGAAGUGCGAAUGCUGACAUGAGUAACGAUAAGGGGGGUGAAAAACCUCCCCGCCGGAAGACCAAGGGUUCCUGCGCAACGCUAAUCGGCGCAGGGUUAGUCGGCCCCUAAGGUGAGGCUGAAGAGCGUAAUCGAUGGGAAACGGGUUAACAUUCCCGUACUUGUUAUGACUGCGAUGGAGAGACGGAGAAGGCUAGGUGAGCCGGGCGACGGUUGUCCCGGUUUAAGCGAGUAGGGAGUGGACUUAGGCAAAUCCGGGUCCACAAUCUCGAGACGCGACGACGACUGCUCUUAGAGCGGGAAGUCAUUGAUGCCAUGCUUCCAGGAAAAUCUUCUAAGCUUCAGGUAACACGUGACCGUACCGUAAACCGAC